rnacentral:rRNA from 1 species
GAUUCUCGACAACUAAUAUUUUGGCUCUCGCAUAGAUAAAGAACACAGCAAAAUGUGAUACUUGGUGUGAAUUGCAGAAUCCCGUGGACCAUCAAGUUUUUGAAUGCAAGAUGCGCCUGAGGCCAUUAUGCCGAGGGCAUGUCUGCCUAGGCAUCA